rnacentral:rRNA from 1 species
AGCGAACGCUGGCGGCAGGCCUAGCACAUGCAAGUCGAACGGAUCCUUCGGGAUUAGUGGCGGACGGGUGAGUAACACGUGGGAACGUGCCCUUUGGUUCGGAACAACUCAGGGAAACUUGAGCUAAUACCGGAUGUGCCCUUCGGGGGAAAGAUUUAUCGCCAUUGGAGCGGCCCGCGUCUGAUUAGCUAGUUGGUGAGGUAACGGCCCACCAAGGCGACGAUCAGUAGCUGGUCUGAGAGGAUGAUCAGCCUCACUGGGACUGGGACACGGCCCAGACUCCUACGGGAGGCAGCAGUGGGGAAUCUUGCGCAAUGGGCGAAAGCCUGACGCAGCCAUGCCGCGUGAAUGAUGAAGGUCUUAGGAUUGUAAAAUUCUUUCAGCGGGGACGAUAAUGACGGUACCCGCAGAAGAAGCUCCGGCUAACUUCGUG